rnacentral:rRNA from 1 species
UAGCCUCUGGAAACGGAGAGUAAUACCGUAUGAGCCCUUCGGGGGAAAGAUUUAUCGCCAAAGGAUUAGCCCGCGUUAGAUUAGGUAGUUGGUGGGGUAAUGGCCUACCAAGCCUACGAUCUAUAGCUGGUUUUAGAGGAUGAUCAGCAACACUGGGACUGAGACACGGCCCAGACUCCUACGGGAGGCAGCAGUGGGGAAUCUUGGACAAUGGGGGCAACCCUGAUCCAGCCAUGCCGCGUGAGUGAUGAAGGCCUUAGGGUCGUAAAGCUCUUUCGCCUGUGAAGAUAAUGACGGUAGCAGGUAAAGAAACCCCGGCUAACUCCGUGCCAGCAGCCGCGGUAAUACGGAGGGGGUUAGCGUUGUUCGGAAUUACUGGGCGUAAAGCGCACGUAGGCGGAUCGGAAAGUUGGGGGUGAAAUCCCGGGGCUCAACCCCGGAACUGCCU